AGUACAGUAGACGUUCGAUAACUGCAACGUGUUUACGUUUCACUUAGCGAACGAAAUUCGGUAACUGCAACGACUGACAGAUGUCAACAAGUUGUCAAACGACAAAAAAUAACCGUGAACGUGAUCCGACUGUUCAUUUGGGCUAACAUGGCGCACCAUUUUGACGUUUGGCGGUGCGAUAACUGCAAAUUUGUUGCACUUACCGGACUUGCAGUUAAAAAGCAUUGCAGUUAAACCGUUUGCACCGACCGAACGUCUACUGUAUUUAUUGUUCGUGCAGUUGAAAAUCGGAAUUUUUGACACGCGAAAAUCGAUUUUUCUCCUAAACCGUGUGUCCGACGUACGUCGGGCACAGUGCGCUGGAUAGAGGGCCAGGUCCGCUGUCCAGCGCACUAUUAGCGGAGUGGUUGAUGUGAUUGAUUUGGGCUUCAAUUUUGAUGUAGCUUGUACACCUUCACUCCUCCUCAAGUUGCAACGAUUGAAGUCCCACCUUCUUCCGGUAGCACUCCAGUUUCACCCUCGACAAAGGUUUAGUCAGGGCGUCGGCGAUCAUUGAUCCUGUAGGACAGUAUUCGACAUGGUUAACGUUCCUACUCACGAGAUCCCGGAUGAAGUUAAACCGUGUGUCGAUGUGCUUGGUCCUUCGGCUUCCUCCUUCGGUUCGUAGCAUCGCUAUACAGCUCUGAUUAUCUUCCCGGACGAUGAUCGGUCCAGUUGGUCUUUCCUCAACGUCCUUCAUCAACUUCUGCAGCCAGAGCAACUCUUGGCAGGCCUCAGCUAAGGCCACAUAUUCCGCCUCAGUGGAAGACAGCGAUAUGCACUGCUGCUUUCUGGCAGCCCAGGAAAUUGGUCCUCCUAAGUGGAAGAUGAAUCCCGAGUUAGAUUUGCGGUCUCGAUGGUCUCCGGCACAGUCGGCGUUAACAUGUGCUUCCAGUUGUCCAGGACAUCCAAGCUCCAGCUUCAAAUCUGCAGUCGACUUCAAGUACCGCAGCGUUCGUUUGGCCUCCGUCCAAUCAGCCUGGGUAGGAUUACCCAGUCAACACGAAGUCGUAUAUGAUGUGGAAUAGGAUACUAAAGUGGAGGCCGUAUACGUACAUGCUUCAAUUUGACCGCGUGUAAAGAGUAUGCAUAUCGCCUCCACUUUAGCAUCCUAUUGAACAUCAUAUGCAAUCGUGUGUUGGCUGGGUACUUACCUUUCGUCCCAGAAUAGACGCGCUGAUUGCUAUAUCGGGCCUGGUGUUUACCGCAACAUACAGCAAAGCACCGACUAGGCUUUGGAAAUCGUCCUUCCGUAUACGCAUAGGCUCCUCCUCAUGAUCUGAGAAAUGUCAAACAUUUUCAUGGAUAGCUUCGUUGGUAUAAUAAAGAAUUGCGACCAUCGUUUCAAAACAAAUUCCAACUGUUGACGUCACGGUAUUUGUAAUAUCAAUCAGCAGAACUGUAAUACAUCACAGAGAAAUACUAGAAUAAAAUAACCAUACACAAUUUUACUACACAAAUAUAUAUAUUUGCACGAUCUUGAAACAAUUGAAAAUAAAGUAAACAAUGUUGAGGCAAAAUUUAUCGAAAACUUUUCCAUAAUUUAAUCAUAAACAAACAUCUCCGGUUCUACGCAAUUAUUUUCACUUUUUGCUCUAGACACUUGAUUAUAAAUGCAUUACUCUUUUCUUUACUGCUAGCCCAAAUUUCGACCACAAAUGUCUAAAUUGAACAAAUGCACUCUGGAGAGCGAAACUACAACUCAAGAAGAUAAUAAAAGUGACCCCACUAUGCGCUGCUAUAAGUGGUCCAUCUCCGCGGUUGCAAUUACAUAUUGACAACCAUUUGGCUUCGGGUUUUACUUCGUAGGGGAAAACU